UACGGAGGGUGCAAGCGUUAUCCGGAUUUACUGGGCUUAAAGGGUGCGUAGGCGGGCUUUUAAGUCAGCGGUGAAAUCUCCAGGCUCAACCUGGAAAUUGCCGUUGAUACUAUUAGUCUUGAAUUAAGUUGAGGUGGGCGGAAUAUGUCAUGUAGCGGUGAAAUGCUUAGAUAUGACAUAGAACACCGAUUGCGAAGGCAGCUCGCUAAACUUAUAUUGACGCUGAGGCACGAAAGCGUGGGGAUCAAACAGG
rnacentral:rRNA from 1 species